rnacentral:rRNA from 1 species
GGACGAACGCUGGCGGCGUGCUUAACACAUGCAAGUCGAACGAAGAGCGAUGGAAGCUUGCUUCUAUCAAUCUUAGUGGCGAACGGGUGAGUAACGCGUAAUCAACCUGCCCUUCAGAGGGGGACAACAGUUGGAAACGACUGCUAAUACCGCAUACGAUCUAAUCUCGGCAUCGAGGAUAGAUGAAAGGUGGCCUCUACAUGUAAGCUAUCACUGAAGGAGGGGAUUGCGUCUGAUUAGCUAGUUGGAGGGGUAACGGCCCACCAAGGCGAUGAUCAGUAGCCGGUCUGAGAGGAUGAACGGCCACAUUGGGACUGAGACACGGCCCAGACUCCUACGGGAGGCAGCAGUGGGGAAUCUUCCGCAAUGGACGAAAGUCUGACGGAGCAACGCCGCGUGAGUGAUGACGGCCUUCGGGUUGUAAAGCUCUGUUAAUCGGGACGAAAGGCCUUCUUGCGAAUAGUGAGAAGGAUUGACGGUACCGGAAUAGAAAGCCACGGCUAACUACGUG